AGAGUUUGAUCCUGGCUCAGAUUGAACGCUGGCGGCAUGCUUUACACAUGCAAGUCGAACGGUAACAGGUCUUCGGAUGCUGACGAGUGGCGAACGGGUGAGUAAUACAUCGGAACGUGCCUAGUAGUGGGGGAUAACUACUCGAAAGAGUAGCUAAUACCGCAUGAGUCUACGGAUGAAAGCAGGGGACCUUCGGGCCU
rnacentral:rRNA from 1 species